rnacentral:rRNA from 1 species
CCGGUAAACGGCGGCCGUAACUAUAACGGUCCUAAGGUAGCGAAAUUCCUUGUCGGGUAAGUUCCGACCUGCACGAAUGGCGUAAUGAUGGCCAGGCUGUCUCCACCCGAGACUCAGUGAAAUUGAACUCGCUGUGAAGAUGCAGUGUACCCGCGGCAAGACGGAAAGACCCCGUGAACCUUUACUAUAGCUUGACACUGAACAUUGAGCCUUGAUGUGUAGGAUAGGUGGGAGGCUUUGAAGUGUGGACGCCAGUCUGCAUGGAGCCGACCUUGAAAUACCACCCUUUAAUGUUUGAUGUUCUAACGUUGACCCGUAAUCCGGGUUGCGGACAGUGUCUGGUGGGUAGUUUGACUGGGGCGGUCUCCUCCUAAAGAGUAACGGAGGAGCACGAAGGUUGGCUAAUCCUGG